rnacentral:tRNA from 1 species
GGGCCCGUAGCUCAGGGGUUAGAGCGCCUGCCUUGCAAGCAGGAGGCCUCGGGUUCAAAUCCCGACGGGUCCA